CUAACUACUUUCUGUAUCCAACAAAGCGGUCAUGUGACGUUACAAAAAAAAGAAACGACUCGAAACCGAUGACUCGAAAGGUGAACUACGCUUAUGCGAUGUUGCGCAUGCGUGGUCAACACAAAAUGAACGAAUCACCGAGAUGACCCGAUAGUCUCGAGUCAUGGGAAACAUUUGUUCAAAAUGGACCAAGCGUUUGUGAACGACACAUUACUACUAGGAAUGGCGGGGAGCCGGCGCGUCAAAAUCAAUUCGCGGAACAUAUUUCCCCCGCUAGAUGAUAAAAUCUUAAAGAGCACGGAAAUGUAUUUUCAACGGCGUUUUCACGAUGUCGGAAGGAAUCCAAGAGGGGAAAAUAAAACUUUCUGAAGAUGUCAGUAUGAAGUGUGGUGAUCCUUUGGAUUAGAACUGAACAAAUGCAGCUACACUGCUGGCUCAAAAACACAUGGUGUUAAAUAGCAGUGAAGGGCAGUGGGAAGGCCAGGCGUGAUGGUCUGGAGGUGAGCCUGUGAUAGGAGCUGGAGUGCAGAGAUGAAAGGUGGAGGAGAACAGUGCAGGAAGCGUAAGAAGAGAAGAAACUGCUCUGUGAGGAUUGGCUCAGGAAGGAGACGCUGUGGUGGAAGGAGGUGACCUGGGCUUGUGAACAGAUCAGCCUCCUCACCUUCAUGAACAAAGAGCUGCAGGACAACUGGCAGGAAGGGGCAAGAUCUGAAUGAGAACAGAGAAGAAGAGGGACGAAAAAGGAACAGGAGCCUUCUUCCUGUAACCACCACGCCAUCCCCGAUUCCCCUUCUACCUUACCCCUUUACCCCUGCUCCAUCCCUCACUCUUACCCACUCCUGAAAACAAACCCUCCA